UGGCGGGCACUUCGCAGUCUCGGGUGUUCCUGCCUGGUCUUCUGUUCCUAAACUGCAGCAAAGGGAAAAGGAACUGAAAAAGGCAGGCUCGUCGUUGUAAUAUCACCAGAAGAGAAAAUUAACGGCCUGCCAUCAGGAGCACAGCAGUUGAAGAAACAACUCUUUAUCCCGGCUUGCAGCCACGAGGUCUUGAUUGGGGGAGGGGUGGUGAAGAAUAGUCCCUGGGCUGCUUUUUUUUUCCUUUUACUGGAGCUGUGCAGUGCAGUCAAUGAUUGCUGCUGAUCAUAAUCAAGUAUUUUAGAAGCUUAUUAAGACAUGUAUCUGAUAGCUAAGGGUUUUUCAACUUUAUUCUCUUACGCAUUUUUCAACUAUACCUUAUUGGUUUUUUAAAUCCUGCUAAUAUUGCCCGACUCUUACUCUCAGUUUUGCAAAUGGGUGAAAUUAAUUGCUAAUUAGGAGGUUGGAAAAUAGCAAAUAUAGAUUUGGACGACGGUGGUAAUUUUGAGCAAAUAAUGUUUAUCUUUUUUUCCUUAUUUUCCCCUACUCCAGUCAUACACGUGGAGCUAACUGCACCAGUAGCUUUUCUGAGGAUACUUGCUGAAAAGGAAGUUUUCUGGAAUGGUAUUCGCUAAGUGGAAGCCAGAAGAAGAGGAAAAUGUUUUGCCACGUGGAUGUGAAGACUUCCUCUAAAAGGUACACAUGGACUAAAUUGCCCUUAAAUGUUCCAAAAUUAGUUCUCAUUUAUUUGCAGUCUAUUUUGUUUGUUUUGUUUUGUUUUGUUUUUUCUCUAUGUAUCAAUCCAUUUGGGAGAGGCCAGCCAUUGGAAGAGCCACCACUUCCAGUGCUAGUUGGAUGGUUGGUUAUGAUUGCCUUCUGUAAAGAAUUCUUAAGGCAUAAAUACGUGUCUAAAUGGACCUCAUAUCUUUGAGAUAAUUAAACUAAUUUUCUCUUACCCAUUAGGGAUUAUGCUGAAUUUGUAUGGUUUAUAGUUGUUAGAGUUGGAGGUGUUAAUUCUAAUUAUCUAUUUCAAAUUUAGCAGGAAUAAAGAGAACAUCACCUUGUAAAACUGAAGAUUGUGACCAGUCAGAAUAAUGUCAAAGUGCUUACAGUGCAGGUAGUGAUAUGUGCAUCUACUGCAGUGAAGGCACUUGUAGCAUUAUGGUGACAGUUGCCUCGGGAAGCCAAGUUGGGCUUUAAAGUGCAGGGCCUGCUGCUGUUGAGUGCUUUUUGUUCUAAGGUGCAUCUAGUGCAGAUAGUGAAGUAGAUUAGCAUCUACUGCCCUAAGUGCUCCUUCUGGCAUAAGAAGUUAUGUAUUCAUCCAAUAAUUCAAGUCAAGCAAGUAUAUAGGUGUUUUAAUAGUUUUUGUUUGCAGUCCUCUGUUAGUUUUGCAUAGUUGCACUACAAGAAGAAUGUAGUUGUGCAAAUCUAUGCAAAACUGAUGGUGGCCUGCUAUUUCCUUCAAAUGAAUGAUUUUUACUAAUUUUGUGUACUUUUAUUGUGUCGAUGUAGAAUCUGCCUGGUGUAUCUGAUGUGUGACAGCUUCUGUAGCACUAAAGUGCUUAUAGUGCAGGUAGUGUUUAGUUAUCUACUGCAUUAUGAGCACUUAAAGUACUGCUAGCUGUAGAACUGCAGCUUCGGCCUGUCGCCCAAUCAAACUGUCCUGUUACUGAACACUGUUCUAUGGUUAGUUUUGCAGGUUUGCAUCCAGCUGUGUGAUAUUCUGCUGUGCAAAUCCAUGCAAAACUGACUGUGGUAGUGAAAAGUCUGUAGAAAAGUAAGGGAAACUCAAACCCCUUUCUACACAGGUUGGGAUCGGUUGCAAUGCUGUGUUUCUGUAUGGUAUUGCACUUGUCCCGGCCUGUUGAGUUUGGUGGGGAUUGUGACCAGAAGAUUGUGAAAAUUAAAUAUUACUGAAGAUUCCGACUUCCACUGUUAAAUGUUCAAGAGAUAUGAAAUAUUAAAGAAAAUGUGUAACUUUUUGUUUAAAUACAUCUUGUUUUCAUCCAAAAACAUUUCACUUUUGGGUUUGAGUGUCAGAUUUGGCAGUAUAAAUUCUGGUUAUAUUUUUUGUUGUUAGAUUUAUUUGUUAAGUAUUGCGAUGUGACUAAACAUACUUUAUACAUGAUGAUCAUCUGUAAAGUUAGAAUAUACCUUUUUGCUUUCUUUGGAGUUAGUGUUAUUCCAGGAUAUUUUACUUAAUCUAAAAGUUAAUCUAUGUUGUUCAUAUAUUACUCAAGUUUUUUAAUUUAGAGAGAAUGCUGCUCUGUUUAAAGCAAUGUGUAAAGAUGGGUUUUUUUAAGCAUGGAAUUUAGGGUGGGUACAGUUUGUUUCUAUUAAGCAAGUACUAUUUUACCAAUACAUGAGUAACUGAUGUGUAACUGUUAAAUGCUCGUAUACUAGUUUUUCUUUGAUUGUCAGUGAUUUAUAAGCUGUAAAUGACCAAGGUCGUCAGACUGCUUUUAGCAUCUGCAACUUAAAAAAAAUGGGAGUUAGAAAAAGAACACACUCAUGCUAAAUAGAGUAACAGAUAAAUGUAUGUGUACACUCUUCCUAAAUGCCAAGAGUGCAGCGGUGGGUCGAGAUUCAGAUACUCAUUUAUUUCUAAGUCUGUAGUUAACAUUUAUGUUCCCUACUCCCUACAUAAGCCAGACUUUGGCAACAGUGAUAGUUGAUUCCAGGCUUACUUAAUCACUGAAGUGGAAACUAAGAAGCAGCAGUUAGUGUUUUAUCCAACAUUUCUGCCUUCUCUCUUUUCUUCGUGUGUUUUGUCUCUAACCUAUGUGUAUAUGUGUCAAAAAAUGUGGAAUACCUGAAUAAUAGAUUUAAAAGAACCAAGUGGUAAAAUUGGACCCAAGCCGAAGUACAGGCAAACUUGAUGUUUAAAAAAUAAGGUUUGAGAAAUGUCAUUGUAUUUUGGAGUAAAAGAGGCUAUCUUAGUAAUAAGAAAUAAACUUCCAUAACAGUAGGUUAGACCACCCAAUAAAUCUAGAAAUCAGCUUUUAAAAAUAUUGUGUGAAGUCUAACUAAAGUUUUUACCUCUAAUGUGUUCUUAAAGAAAUUUAAGGAACUUAAUCUUGGAUUCCUGAAUACAAAGGUAAGAAUUCCAUCAUUCUGGAGAUGAUGAAAAGAUUUGCAGGAUGUGAAAUGAACAGUGAUUUAUAAAAUGGAAAUCAAAUUGUACAUUAGCAGAGUUCUUAAGCUUUUUGAAUUGAAGGAGACCUAAUAAUUGUGUCUUUUUGGUUAUUUUGGUGACAAACACAGCUUUAAAACUCUGCUUAAAAAGUUGCGGCUGUACCCGGUGGCUCACACCUACAAUCCUAGCACCUUGGGAGGCUGAGGCAGGCGGAUUACCUGAGGUCAGGAGUUGGAGACCAACCUGGCUGUCAUGGUCAAACGCUGUCUCUACUAAAAAUGUAAAAAAUCAGCCAGGUGCAGUGGCAUGUGCCUGUAAUCCCAGCUAUACUCUGGAGGCUGAGGCAGGAGAAUCACUUGAACCGGGGAGGCGGAGGUUUCAGUGAGCUGAGAUCCUGCCACUGCACUCCAGCCUGGGCAGAAGAGCGAGACUUCGUCUCUAGGAAAAAAAAAAAAAAUCAUAAUAUAGCAUGUUCUGGUAGUUUGCAAAAUGGUGUGCUGUGGUUAUAAGUGAGGAAAGUAUUUUGUUUUACAUUUGUCAGACUAUGUCAUUUUACUUUAAAGCUUUUGGGGAAAUAUACUAGCAAUUAAAAAAAAAAUGGAACAGUGUGAUAGGAAGCCUGCUUCAUGAUUCCUUAAAUAGUCUAAAAUGUAGUCAAAUAUGUUAUAAUAUCAAAGACUUAAAUGGCUUUUCUCCCUAGAUACUGAAACUGUAGUAUUCAUUGUGUCAGAACUUACUUGGGCUUGAACUGAGAUUUAAAUCUAAUCAGCAAGUUAAUAAAUGUGGGCCGGGCGCGGUGGCUCAAGCCUGUAAUCCCAGCACUUUGGGAGGCCGAGAUGGGCGGAUCACGAGGUCAGGAGAUCGAGACCAUCCUGACUAACGCGGUGAAACCCCGUCUCUACCAAAAAAAAAAAAAAAAUGUAUAUGUUUUGUUGUGGGAUUGGUAGUGAUCUGUGGUUUUAUAGAGUUUAAUAGGAAUUGCUUUUGAUUUGUUUCUGGCUUUAGAAUGUGAGUCUAAUUUUACAUUCUUGGUUCUAUGAAGAUUUUCUUAGGAAUGCCAACAAAAAGCCAUGCAAACCUAACUACAAGCCAGACUUGGGUUUUCUCCUGUAGUUUGAAGACACACUGACUCCUGACAAAAUGCAACCUGCAACUUCUGGAGAACAACUCAGUGUCACAUUAAAGUUUAUUAUGUAUUUGGUGAUACACUUGAAUUGACACUUCUGCAUAGUUUGUCUAGCUUUAGAGAAUUAAGAGUCUCAACUGAGCAAUAAAGGUAAGGAGAGCUUAAUAUACACAGAGCCAGGCUUUGGUGUUUGAUGAAAUAAGAUCAUCAUGCCCACUUGAGAUUUCAGAUUAUUCUUUAGCUUAGUGGUUGUAUGAGUUACAUUCUUACUAAAGUCGAAAUUAAUGUAGUUUGCUGCCUUGAUAAAUUAAAUUCCAUAUGUGGUAUUUUAAAGGGUCAUUAGGAAAAUGCACAUGUUCCAUAAAUAAGACCCAUAGAAAGGUUGAAGAAUGCUUAAUUUUCUUUAUCCAAUAAUGUAAACACAGACACAACAUUGAGAUGUGCCUAAUUCUGUAUUUACAGUUUGGUCUGGCUGUUGGAGUUGUAGUGCAUUUAAUGUUAAUAAAUAAAAUACUGCAUUUUAAAGCUGUUAAGAAAUUGUCUGGAACGAGCAUAUUGAAAUAAAAACUUCAAGGUUAUCGCA